GAGAUGUUCAUAAAUGAGAGGGGAAAAGGUAGGAAACCCCAGGGGUAAGAAAUGAACAGAGAUGAGGUUUCCCCAAGAAGGUUCCCCGCUCACACCCACCACACAUGCGCACACACAGUCACACAUCCACUCACAUACACACAUGCACUCACACACGGAAUCCCACACACACGCACAUGCAUACACAAACACACACAUGUACACACACUCACACACACACGCACUCAGGAAAACAAGGCAGCAUAAGCAUGAGCUGGAAAACGAAACAACCCAAAAAACAGAUGUAGAAAAAGGACAUGGGGCCUCUGAGAUUCAGACAGUAAACUGCACAA
rnacentral:lncRNA from 10 species